rnacentral:rRNA from 1 species
GACGAACGCUGGCGGCGUGCUUAACACAUGCAAGUCGAACGGUAAGGCCCUUCGGGGUACACGAGUGGCGAACGGGUGAGUAACACGUGGGUGAUCUGCCCUGCACUUCGGGAUAAGCCUGGGAAACUGGGUCUAAUACCGGAUAGGACCACUGCCUGCAUGGGUGGUGGUGGAAAGCUUUUGCGGUGUGGGAUGGGCCCGCGGCCUAUCAGCUUGUUGGUGGGGUGAUGGCCUACCAAGGCGACGACGGGUAGCCGGCCUGAGAGGGUGACCGGCCCCACUGGGACUGGGCUACGGCCCAGACUCCUACGGGAGGCAGCAGUGGGGAAUAUUGCACAAUGGGCGCAAGCCUGAUGCAGCGACGCCGCGUGAGGGAUGACGGCCUUCGGGUUGUAAACCUCUUUUAGUAGGGAAGAAGCGAAAGUGACGGUACCUGCGGAAAAAGCACCGGCUAGCUACGUGCCAGCAGCCGCCGUAA